AACUCAAAGGAAUUGACGGGGACCCGCACAAGCAGCGGAGCGUGUGGUUUAAUUCGUUGCUACACGAAGAACCUUACCUAGGUUUUGACAUAUAGGUUGUAGGGAACUGAAAAGGGACCGACCCUUCGGGGAGCCUAUACAGGUGUUGCAUGGCUGUCGUCAGCUCGUGUCGUGAGAUGUUCGGUUAAGUCCGCUAACGAGCGCAACCCUCGUCGUAUGUUACAAGUGUCAUACGGGACUGCCGGUAAAAAGUCGGAGGAAGGUGAGGAUGAUGUCAAGUCAGCAUGACCUUUAUAUCUAGGGCUACACACACGCUACAAUGGUCUGUACAAUGGGUUGCCAAGCCGCGAGGCGGAGCCAAUCCUAAAAAGCAGGCCUCAGUUCAGAUUGCAGUCUGCAACCCGACUGCAUGAAGCCGGAGUUGCUAGUAACCGCAGGUCAGCAAUACUGCGGUGAAUACGUUCCCGGGUCUU
rnacentral:rRNA from 1 species